rnacentral:tRNA from 1 species
UCCCUGGAGGACUAGUGGUUAGGCCACAGCACUCUCACUGCUGCUGCCUGGGUUCGAUUCCCGGCCAGGGAC